AUUGAACGCUGGCGGCACGCCUUACACAUGCAAGUCGAACGGCAGCACGGGAGCAAUCCUGGUGGCGAGUGGCGAACGGGUGAGUAAUAUAUCGGAACGUGCCCAGUCGGGGGGGAUAACGUAGCGAAAGCUACGCUAAUACCGCAUACGAUCGAUGGAUGAAAGCGGGGGAUCGCAAGACCUCGCGCGAUUGGAGCGGCCGAUAUCAGAUUAGGUAGUUGGUGAGGUAAAGGCUCACCAAGCCGACGAUCUGUAGCUGGUCUGAGAGGACGACCAGCCACACUGGGACUGAGACACGGCCCAGACUCCUACGGGAGGCAGCAGUGGGGAAUUUUGGACAAUUGGCGCAAGCCUGAUCCAGCAAUGCCGCGUGCAGGAUGAAGGCCUUCGGGUUGUAAACUGCUUUUGUACGGAACGAAACGGCGAGCUCUAGUACAGUUUGCUAAUGACGGUACCGUAAGAAUAAGCACCGGCUAACUACGUGCCAGCCGCCGCCGUAA
rnacentral:rRNA from 1 species